CAAAUACUCCCUCCGUCCGGAAAUACUUGUCAUCAAAAUGGAUAAAAGGAAAUGUAUCUAGACGUAUUUUAGUUUUAGAUACAUCUCUUUUUAUCCAUUUUGAUCACAAGUAUUUUCGGACGGAGGGAGUAGAAA
rnacentral:pre_miRNA from 1 species